AACAACUCACCUGCCGAAUGAACUAGCCCUGAAAAUGGAUGGCGCUUAAGCGGGCGGCCGACACCGCGCCGUCUGGUAAAGAAUUUUUUUUUAUUUUUAUGAUCAGAUGAGUAGGAGGGCGUGGCGGGCGUGUCGAAGCGUGCGUGCAAACGCGCGUGGAACGGCCGCUAGUGCAGAUCUUGGUGGUAGUAGCAAGUAUUCAAGCGAGAUCCUUGAAGGGCGAAGCGGGGAAGGGUUCCACGCGAACAGCGCUUGGGCGUGGGUGAGUCGUUCCUAAGCCGAGUGGCAAUUGCUAAGUAGCGGCGAAAGGGAAGCGGGUUGACAUUCCCGCACACGGAUGUGGAGGCGGUGACGCGUAUUGGGGCGAACACGCUGGCGACGGCGCUGGGCAGAGUUGUCUUUUCUGUUUGACCUACCAAGCUCGCGGUGUGGAAUCCGCUUGUCGGGAGAAACACGCGUGUCGGGGCAGAGCGCCGGGGCUUUUCCGGCGUCCAGCUCGCCGUCGACGGCCCUUGAAACUUUGCCUGCUGAAAAUUUUUUUUGUAAGAUCCACGCCGUGGCGUACCGAUCACCGCAUCAGGUCCCCAAGGUGAACAGCCUCUGCUCGAUAUGAACAAU
rnacentral:rRNA from 1 species